UGACCGCCCGGUGACCGGGACCCCUCAGCGCGGCUGGGGCCGGGGGCGGCCCGAGGGGUCCCGGAGUCUGAUGGGUCUCGGUCCGAGGGGAACCACCCCUGGGCAUCCGUGGGGCGGGGCCGCCUCCGGUGCCUCGGCCGGGGCUGCAUGGCGCGGCGCCGCUGCCUCCGGGCCGGGCCCCGCGGGCUACGGAAGCCACCUGAAUGAUCAAGAGAUCGUGAGGCCUCCCCGUUCUAUCGCCCCGCUCAGUCCAACCCCUCUGCCAAGGCAGGGUCACCCAGAGCAGGUGACAGGAACGUGCCCGGGUGGAUUUGGAAUGUCUCCAGAGAGGGAGACUCCACGCCCUCCCUGGGCAGCUGUUCCAGUGCUCCCAGCUGCCAGCAUCAGCUGCUGCUGCCCGAGGCGGUGUCUCUCUGCAGCCCCCGGAAAGAAUGAGCUGAGCCCAGCCCCAGACAGGUCUGGAGGGUUUGAGGGUGCAGCCCAAGAGAUGUUUGUCCUCGACAGAGGACAACCAUCCCUACCUGGUGCCAGCUGUGAGUGGAGCUGUCCCGGGCCUGGCUCUGAGAAGUGCAGGAGGGAGCUUCAUCCUUGUCCUGGGACGCUGAAUCUUUGCAAAUGCAUUGCUUCGGGCAACUUCCCUGGGAAAAACGUGUGGGAAGAGGGGAAGGUCCUACAAUGCUCCCCUGUGCUCCCUCAGCAGAUACCAUCACAAGAACAGACUACAAUGUUCUGGAAGCUCUGCUUCAUCUCAGGCCACUGAUCUCCUGCCAUGGGCCUGCAAACAACCCCAAAUUAAGAAAAGUCAUCCCAGGGAGCAGAAGACACCUGACUCUGGAGCAGCAAAAGCAGAGAUGGUUAGUGUCUCUCUAUUGUCCACACACACAGUGUGUUCCCAGUUUAUGUCACCCCCAUAAUCACUUCUGCACUGUCCCUGGCUUUACCAGUUGUCCAAUAAAGAGAUUUUUGCAGCAGACACCCUGCUCCUCUGUCUCCAGUUUAUUGUGGGUGUGUGUCAUGCUGCUUCAGGAGGAUGCAGAGCAGGUGGGAAGGGAGAAAUUGUUGGGAGCUCAGGGACGAAUCAACACUUGCCUUUGGGGCAGCCUGGGCAGAUGUGCUCCUUGCUCAGGAGGCAGAUUCCCCCACUCCCCAAUCCUUACACUGCCCCAGACAUAGCAAGGAUGCAAUUUCCCCUGGGAGCCAAGAAAGAUCCUCAAACCUGUGUCUCCUGUGCACUGCU